rnacentral:rRNA from 1 species
AAAAAUAACGAUACGGGACUCUAUUGAGGCCCCGUAAUCGGAAUGAGUACACUUUAAAUCCUUUAACAAGGAUCCAUUGGAGGGCAAGUCUGGUGCCAGCAGCCGCGGUAAUUCCAGCUCCAAUAGCGUAUAUUAAAGUUGUUGCGGUUAAAAAGCUCGUAGUUGGUUCUGCGUGCCGCGCUGUCGGUUCGCCGCCUGUCGGUGUAACUGGCAUGUCGCGGCAUGUCCUGUCGGUGGUGAACGGAGUCCACAAUGCUACAUAGGCUUUAUAGCCGAUGUUAGCGUCGUGUGUACUUCCGUUGGCCGAUCUCUCCUACUUCGGUGCUCUUAAACGAGUGUCGAGGUAGGCCGACACGUUCACUUUGAACAAAUUAGAGUGCUUAAAGCAGGCUGAAAUAUCUGCCUGAAUAGUGGUGCAUGGAAUGAUAAAACAGGACCUCGGUUCUAUUUUGUUGGUUUUAGGAAUAUGAGGUAAUGAUCAAUGUGGACUGGCGGGGGCAUUCGUAUUGCGACGUUAGAGGUGAAAUUCUUGGAUCGUCGCAAGACGCACUAGAGCGAAAGCAUUUGCCAAGUAUGUCUUAAUUGAUCAAGAACGAAAGUUAGAGGUUCGAAGGCGAUCAGAUACCGCCCUAGUUCUAACCAUAAACGAUGCCAGCCAGCGAUCCGCCGAUGUUCCUUUAAUGACUCGGCGGGGAGCUUCCACCCGGGAAACCAAAGCUUUUGGGUUCCGGGGGAAGUAUGGUUGCAAAGCUGAAACUUAAAGGAAUUGACGGAAGGGCACCACCAGGA